rnacentral:rRNA from 1 species
AGUGAACGCUGGCGGUAGGCCUAACACAUGCAAGUCGAACGGCAGCACAGUAAGAGCUUGCUCUUACGGGUGGCGAGUGGCGGACGGGUGAGGAAUACAUCGGACUCUACUUUUUCGUGGGGGUUAACGUAGGGAAACUUACGCUAAUACCGCAUCCGACCUACGGGUGGAAGCAGGGGAUCUUCGGACCUUGCGCGAUUGAAUGAGCCGAUGUCGGAUUAGCUAGUUGGCGGGGUAAAGGCCCACCAAGGCGACGAUCCGUAGCUGGUCUGAGAGGAUGAUCAGCCACACUGGAACUGAGACACGGUCCAGACUCCUACGGUAGGCAGCAGUGGGGAAUAUUGGACAAUGGGCGCAAGCCUGAUCCAGCCAGACCGCGUGGGUGAAGAAGGCCUUCGGGUUGUAAAGCCCUUUUGUUGGGAAAGAAAAGCAGCAGGUUAAUACCCCGCUGUUCUGACGGUACCCAAAGAAUAAGCACCGGCUAACUUCGUG